rnacentral:rRNA from 1 species
UACGAGAGGCCCAAACGUUGUUCGGAAUUACUGGGCGUAAAGGGCGCGUAGGCGGCCUGCUAAGUCGAACGUGAAAUCCCCGGGCUCAACCCGGGAACUGCGUCCGAUACUGGCAGGCUUGAGUUCGGGAGAGGGAUGCGGAAUUCCAGGUGUAGCGGUGAAAUGCGUAGAUAUCUGGAGGAACACCGGUGGCGAAGGCGGCAUCCUGGACCGAAAUUGACGCUGAGGCGCGAAAGCCAGGGGAGCAAACGGG